CCAUACACAUAGACACAAACAUUUUGUUGGCACAGUUUGUAGAGGACAACAUUUAGGGUUAUAAACCAUGACUUCCUCUCUUAGUAAAUUCUACACCAUAUUCAUCUUGAUCUUGCUUUGUCUUGUAUUUCUCCUUAUUUUCACAUGGGAGGUGGAAGCAAAACUUUGUGGUAAGCCAAAUAGAACAUUGUCAAGCCCAUGUAUUGACUCAGUGUGCUAUGCAAAGUGCAUCGACUCGGACUUGGAUGCAGUAUCUGGUUCUUGUGAAGGCUUUUUUACUUCUGAAUGCUUUUGUUACUACGAAUGUUGAGAAAUGAGUUUUCCUUCGAGCAAUUUCUGCCUUUGACAUUUUUGUCAAAUUUAAAAUACUCUCUAUAGUCUCACAUAUACAUAAGUACUAGCAUAAAUGACCCGUGACAAGAGCAUGUUAGUUUUUUAUAUAAAAAUGUAGAUCAUUUUGGACUAUCAUGUGAAAUUCUAUUUAUAUUAUGUAAAAUUUAAAAUGUAAUGAAUAAACCGUUGGAACA